GAUGAAGAACGUAGCGAAAUGCGAUACGUAGUGUGAAUUGCAGAAUUCAGUGAAUCAUCGAAUCUUUGAACGCACAUUGCACCUCUCGGUAUUCCGGGAGGUAUGCCUGUUCGAGCGUCAUUUGUACCCUCAAGCUCUGCUUGGUGUUGGGUGUUUGUUCCGCCUCUGUGUGUGAACUCGCCUCAAAACAAUUGGCAGCCGGCGUACUUGUUUCGGAGCGCAGCACAUUUUGCGAUCCAGAUCAACGUACAGCGGCAUCCAAGAAGCCUUAUUUAACGCUCUUGACCUCGGAUCAGGUAGGGAUACCCGCUGAACUUAAGCAUAUCAUAAGCGGGGA
rnacentral:misc_RNA from 1 species